UUGACCUCGGAUAAGG
rnacentral:rRNA from 1 species